rnacentral:rRNA from 1 species
AGCCCAGCGUGAAGGCUUUAUCACUCCGGUGUUAAAGCGGUGCCACGUUAGUGACUUGUCAUAAUGCUUUGCUGAAGCUUCGUGAAUGCUUUUGAAUAAGCUUCAUUUCAGCCAUAGAGGGUGCAAGCCCCUUGGCGUUGUGGAAGCAAAGCAUAGACUUGUCAUGAUAGAGUCGGGUUGCUUGAAAGUGCAACCUAAAGUAGAUGGUAAGCUCCAUCUAAGGCUAAAUAUCGCUGUGAGACCGAUAGCAAACAAGUACCGUGAGGGAAAGUUGCAAAGAACUUUGAAGAGAGAGUUCAAUAGGACGUGAAACCGUUUGCAGGUAAACAGAUGGACCCACGAAGUCCGGUUGAUCAGAGAAUUCAAAUUUUGCAAUUUGUUCUCUACUGGUUGUGACCUUUCUUGCGAAGGAAAUGGCUGGUGUGAGUGCUUUUGCGAGAUGCAUUUUUUCUGAUCACGAUGGAGCUCUGACUGCUAAGUGUCUUUCGCUGUGUAGGGCUGCUUCGAACUGAGAGAUGAUCCUUAGGGUUCAAUUCUUCAGUUUGAGGUUAUCAGUGAAGUCACUUCGAGCGGUUGAAUAACUUACUUCGGUGAGUGUUCAGGUUGUCGAUGUCUGUUUUUGAGCAGUGCGUAUAAGUAUCUAUUCUUUCGGC